GCGGGUCGGAGAGAAGGAGGAGGCAGAGGAGGCCCGACAGACGGGGAACAGAAACUGACGGAGGACAAACGGGAAGCCGUCGCUCAUCGUAGGAUUCAUCACAGCUUUGAAACUUUCUGAAGGAUCAAUAAUCAUCGUCUACUGGAGUUAAAGCAACAUCCAGAUCAUUUCAACUGUAACUGAGUGAGCUGCAGGAGGAGGAAUCGUCCCUUUCUGAGAAGAGCUGCAGGACUUUAAGAUUAAAAACGAACCACAGCGAAGGAAAAUGUUACUCGUUUUGAAAGAGAAGAGUCACUUCAAGUUCCAUGUCUUCAAAUCAAAGAUUAUUUUGUCAUUUUGUACAAGUUGUGGUCAUUUACGAGACAUUUUUUGUCACUGCGCAGAUUUCAAGACAUUUUUGACAAUUUUUGACACAGUGGACAAAUUUAGGUAAUUCUGGACAUGCUGUACAGCAUUUUGACAAAAUUCCAGUCAUUUUGGACAAAUGUUGAAUCAUUUUGGGAACAUUCUGAGUUAUUUUGGACAAAAUUUGAGACAUUUUAUGCCGUUUUUGAGUCAUUUUGGACAAAUCUAGAUUGAUAUAAG
ensembl:lncRNA